UCUUUCCCAAUUUUUACUUAAUUAGCUUAAUUUUAUAGUUAUUUAUUCUUAUAUUUUUUAAAAAAUAUGAAUAUUUAUGCUAAUAGCAUAAAUUUUGAGAAAAAAAAAUUUAAUUUAAUAGCCGAAUUUUUUAUCCCGAAUUUUUAAUUGGUAAACGUAUAAUAUUCGUAUAAAUCACGUAUCCGAAUAAUUGAUGAAUCCGUUUUUUAGCCGUAUUUUUGAACGAAUUUAGAAAUUAGAAGACGAAUUUUAUCCGAAUUAUACCCGUACCGAAUUUUUGCCGAAUCCGAAUUAACUAACUAUGCUACAAAUAUGUUCCCAUUUU
rnacentral:lncRNA from 1 species